CCCUUAGAUGUUCUGGGCCGCACGCGCGCUACACUGAUGAACGCAACGAGACGACCUGUACCGAAAGGCAUGGGUAAACUUGUGAAAGUUCAUCGUGAUGGGGAUAGAUUAUUGCAAUUAUUAAUCUUCAACGAGGAAUUCCUAGUAAGCGCGAGUCAUCAGCUCGCGUUGAUUACGUCCCUGCCCUUUGUACACACCGCCCGUCGCCCCUACCGAUUGAAUGGUCCGGUGAAAUCUUCGGAUUGCUGGAUAGGAGGGCAACCACCUAUCUGCGAGAAGUUGCUUGAACCUUAUCAUUUAGAGGAAGGAGAAGUCGUAACA
rnacentral:rRNA from 1 species